rnacentral:rRNA from 1 species
GUGUUGGGAUCGGGGCGACGUGGGCGGUUCGCCGCCGACGACGUCGCGAGAAGUUCACUGAACCUUAUCAUUUAGAGGAAGGAGAAGUCGUAACAAGGUUUCCGUAGGUGAACCUGCGGAAGGAUCAUUGU